UACGUAGGGGGCAAGCGUUGUCCGGAAUCAUUGGGCGUAAAGCGCGUGUAGGCGGCCCGGUAAGUCCGCUGUGAAAGUCCAGGGCUCAACCCUGGGAUGCCGGUGGAUACUGUCGGGCUCGAGUCCGGAAGAGGCGAGUGGAAUUCCUGGUGUAGCGGUGAAAUGCGUAGAUAUCGGAAGGAACAUCAGUGGCGAAAGCGACUUCCUGGACCAAUACUGACGCUCAUGUGCGAAAGCGUGGGGAGCAAACAGG
rnacentral:rRNA from 1 species